rnacentral:tRNA from 1 species
AUAUGAAGGAAAUAUUUCCAUUUAAUUUCGACUUAAAAAUUUGAUUAUUAAAAUUAAUCCAUAUU